GACGAACGCUGGCGGCGUGCUUAACACAUGCAAGUCGAACGGAAAGGCCCUGCUUUUGUGGGGUUCUCGAUUGGCGAACGGGUGAGUAACACGUGAGUAACCUGCCCUUGUCUUUGUGAGAACUUCAGGAAACCGGGGCGAAUACCGGAUAGGAGCUCCUGCUGCACGGGGUGGGUUGGAAAGUUUCGGCGGUGGGGGCUGGACUCGCGGCUUAUCAGCUUGUUGGGGGGGUAGUUGCUUACCAAGGCUUUGACGGGUAGCCUGCCUGAGAGGGUGACCGGCGACCUUGGGCCUGCGAGACGGACCAGACGGCUACGGGCGGCAGUAGUGGGGAACAUUGCGGAAUGGCCGGACGUCUGAUGUAGAAAUCCUGCGAGCGGGAUGACCGCCUUUGGGUUGUAAACCGCUUUGGACUGUGAUGAAGCGUGCGUGACGGUAAUGGGUCAAGAAGCAACGGCUAACUACGUG
rnacentral:rRNA from 1 species